UUCUCAACCUCCUCCAUGAUCCCAAACCCACUUUCUCCAUUAUCCUUUAUCCUCCUAUUUAUUUGCUCAACUGCUUCCCCAUAUCGUGGCUGGUAUCUGCGGUUUAUCACGGUUACAAAAUUGAAUGGUUAUCCUCUUCCUAUAUAUCACUUGCUGAAUCUCCUGUAGCCGAAUCUCAUAUAUGUUCUUUUAGGGUUUGACGUCUCAAGAGGUUAAGUUGGAUGCCUUCAACAUGUCCAAUUGGAAUCAUGGAGGAGCCUCAUCAGCCUCCCAAAUACUUGAUGAACGGAACUUCUCAUUAAGCAUUCAGGUUUCAACUCCAUUCUUUUCGUGAUAUUAAGCCAGCCAUCAGUUCUAAAAUUGAUCACGAUUUAGAGUUUCUAAAGGAGGUCAGGAAUUAAAUCUGAGUUAUGUCACGAGAAUCAUGGUAAGUUUUAUUUAUAUCCAUUCAACACACACAUACUAACUACUCAUGUUCAUCUUAUUCUUUUCUCUAUCAUGAAGUUAAAUUCUUUUAAGACUCCGUUAACUAAGUUGUAUGAUUAUGGGUUUUGUAAUGGCAUACAUUAUUUACAGUUUUCAGCUUUCUUUACCUUGCCCACCAGAUGUUUGAUAAAUUCCCUCAAUGAGAGUUUUGUUGAGGAAUUCACUGACGUUCCAUAAAUCACACACAGUGUUUGCUAGCUUCGGUUCCUUGACCAUCUAAAAAAGCUUCAAAGAAGAACGUGGAAUAUUUGGGUUGUUUUCGGGAUCCACUAGAUAUAAUUACUUAAUGGUUAUAACAAAAUACUGAAACAUCGCGUUAUCCUAAUCAUCAGGUACUGUUUGCAGUAGGUUUAUUCUGAUUUAGUAGUAACAUUUUUAAACUUUUUUAAUUAUCUUUUGUUUUUAUUUAUUUAUUUUAUUUAUGAAUGGUGAAUAGGUUGUAUGCUUUCAUGCAAUGGAGAAACAAAAAGAGGUUAUGUUCUCUCUAGAACUGUAAGUUUUUUUGGGUCUCCAAGCCGGUGCUUAAUGUUUCAGCUCAAAUUUCAUGGUUUCCGGAUUACUCAAUCCGUCGUCAAAAAACCAAGCCGAGGGGUGACCGGGUCGUGUACACUUGCCGAGUUGAUGUCGAAUCUGCAAAGUGUGUUGCUUCAUGCUGAGUUAUGAGGCAUUUGUUUUGCGAGUGUUGAAUUUUGCUAUAUAUUAGCGGUUACAUGUUUCAUACAGAAAAUGGUUCACGUUUGCUAAGUAAUUAUCUGACAACAGGUUUUAUACCAUUGUUAGGAAGGUAGGUACUCUUCACAUGAAUGAGUUAUAAAAUAACUUAUUUUUUAAUGGUUUGGUUUAGGCCAAAAAAGGUGGGUACUUUUCAAAUGAUCGUCCAUUUUCUGUUUCGGGAGUGAAAGCAUUAGUUGAAGCUUGGAACAUGAAGGGAGUCUUUGCUGAGGAAACAAAUUAAGAAAGAAGCUGUGUUAUAUCCCACCCUUAUGCUUUCUCUUAUCGCAGUUGGAGAUGGCACUUUCUUUUUGGGCCUUAUUGGUUCCAGUUCUUAAUGGUUUUUACUGAUCAUAUAAAAAUCUAAUAAUAAUAAUAAUGUGUGGUACUAUAUGAUCUUUUUUGUGGUCAUACAAAUUUUUUGUUCUUUAUCUUUUCUUACAAUAGUUUGGCCUAACUUUUUCUUUAUUUCCUUUUCCUUUUUGGGAAUUAGGUAGGUUACCACAUCAUAAUGUGUAGUGUAAUAACUUGGUACUUGAAAGUAUGUAUCUUUAAUCACUGAUAUGGUGCAGACAUGCAAUUUGUGAUUACCAUGUUAUCUACUUAUCUCUAAGCAUCAUGUGUGUCUUUGUACCUGGUGAAAAUCUUGGCUUUCAACCGCUACAUGUGUAGUAUUAUGUUUAUUUGAUGCUAUUUUUCUUCUCUUAUGGAAAUCUAACUAACACUUUUCAUUAUUCCCUUUGUUAUUCCAGAGCGCAGAUACAUGUUGGUUCAAGAAAUUUAAACUUGCUCAGCAGCAGAAGUCACACUGUUACUCCAUCAAGCAAUUAUACAUUAAAAUUUGCCUACCAUUGCAAAACACAUUGAAAUCUAGGCUGCUCAAAGCAAGGCAUUCUCAUUAAUUUUGUCUGCACUAAAUACAUAAUAGUAAGUGUUCCCAAACAAUCAAUGGAAAUAAUCUUAUGUUUUUUGUAGAUUAUUUUUUAUAUAUAUUAAAGAAUGGUGCUUUUGUUUGUAAUAUUGUUUAGAUUUGUGUGCACUUAUUGUGGGUGUUUGGGAUUGCUUAUUUUGAGCUCCUUUUAACUUUUCGACUUUUUCGAAACGGAGAAAAGGAUAUGAAAAAGGAGAAAAGAAGAAAAGGCGAAGCAAUCCCAAACAGCCUCAAUAUAGAUUAUGUUUUUUUGUCACGUUGUUUGC